ACACGGUGUAAACGAUUUCCAAACCCUUUCAAAAAUCUGUUCCUCUCCUCGCCUGUGGGGGCGCUGCGACCAGAACUACUGAAGGAAAACGACACGAAAUCCUCCGAGGAAGACACUGAGCGCAACUUUCUUCUUCACGAGACGUAAACAAAAAUGGCGUGGCGUCCGCUUGUUAACGGACAGGAAAGGAAUUGUAUGUUUGUAUAUGUACAAAAGAGAAAUCCUGCGACCAUUGGAGUAUGACGCAGUUGACACAGUGCAGCGGGAAAGUGAACAGCAGUAGCUGCAAAUAUAACAAAUGUCGCAAUUUUGGUCCAAUCAAACCGAGUCUACCGGAUUAUCAGGGGUGAAAACACAACAGUGGAAGAUGCUUCAUUCAGGAGGCCUGGAGAUCUGCAGGUGUUUCUGAUCUUAGGUCAAAGUUCCUGAUUCACAAUAAAAAAGAGAGAGACUGGCAUCCAUGGGAUGGUUAACAGCAACACAGCAGUUUAGAAAAACGGACAUCGUUUGGACAGUUAGUGACAGGUUUUGAUUUUCCACCUCGUCCUGUUAAUCUUUAGCUCAAAAGCUUCAGCGCUGCGUUUAACGAGGUACAACUGGGUAAUUUGAAGAAAUGACGACCUGGGAGCAUUUCUGUGGAUGUUGGUGUCAUAAAAGCAAAGUGGAUCAAGUGAAUCUCACACGGAGCAGCGUGGCCGGGUAACAGGCCUGUUGCUUCAGGACCAGCUGGGAGGAAUCCUGCAUCAGCACCGGAUCCUGGAUACUCAGAAUAUUCUACGAAAAUUAAAACAAAGUGAGGUGGGAUGAACUCUACAACUCACCCAAUGACCACUGACCACAAGCAGGCAGGGACAACGGAUAGAUGGACAUCUGGAGACUUUGUUGACAGUAAGCGUGCCAGAACCAGAACACUACCUUCCACUCUGAGGCCAGAACAACCAUGAGCCCUAAAGACAUUGCAGUCCAGAUGUAUCAGUCGGUCUUGUCGUGUGGUUUUUAUGCUUGUGAGUUGUUAGUCAGUAAAUGUUUGGUCAAAGCCAUUAAAAAGUGUUGUAGCUGUUUAUGCA